rnacentral:rRNA from 1 species
CCUACGGGGGGCAGCAGUGAGGAAUAUUGGUCAAUGGGCGGAAGCCUGAACCAGCCAAGUAGCGUGCAGGAUGACGGCCCUACGGGUUGUAAACUGCUUUUAUACGGGAAUAACGCGCCUUACGUGUAGGGUUUUGCAUGUACCGUAUGAAUAAGGACCGGCUAAUUCCGUGCCAGCAGCCGCGGUAAUACGGAAGGUCCGGGCGUUAUCCGGAUUUAUUGGGUUUAAAGGGAGCGUAGGCCGCAUGUCAAGCGUGCUGUGAAAUGUCCGGGCUCAACCCGGGCCUUGCAGCGCGAACUGGCGUGCUUGAGUCCGCGGAAAGCAGGCGGAAUUCGUCGUGUAGCGGUGAAAUGCUUAGAUAUGACGAAGAACCCCGAUUGCGAAGGCAGUUCACUGGACUGCAACUGACACUGAGGCUCGAAAGUGUGGGUAUCAAACAGGAUUAGAUACCCUUGUAGUC